rnacentral:rRNA from 1 species
CAGUAGCCGCGGUAAUACGAAGGGGGCUAGCGUUGUUCGGAAUCACUGGGCGUAAAGGGUGCGUAGGCGGGAUCUUAAGUCAGUGGUGAAAUCCCGAGGCUCAACCUCGGAACUGCCUUUGAUACUGGGGUCCUUGAGUCCGGAAGAGGUGAGUGGAACUGCGAGUGUAGAGGUGAAAUUCGUAGAUAUUCGCAAGAACACCGGUGGCGAAGGCGGCUCACUGGUCCGGAACUGACGCUGAGGCACGACAGCGUGGGGAGCAAACAGGAUUAGAUACCCCUGUAGUCCCUGUCUCUUAUAC